GAUGAACGCUAGCUACAGGCUUAACACAUGCAAGUCGAGGGGCAGCAUUGGAGUAGCAAUACUUCAGAUGGCGACCGGCGCACGGGUGAGUAACACGUAUCCAACCUGCCGCUUACUCGGGGAUAGCCUUUCGAAAGAAAGAUUAAUACCCGAUGGUAUAAAGAGUUCGCAUGUUCUCUUUAUUAAAGAAUUUCGGUAAGCGAUGGGGAUGCGUUCCAUUAGAUUGUUGGCGGGGUAACGGCCCACCAAGUCUACGAUGGAUAGGGGUUCUGAGAGGAAGGUCCCCCACAUUGGAACUGAGACACGGUCCAAACUCCUACGGGAGGCAGCAGUGAGGAAUAUUGGUCAAUGGGCGAGAGCCUGAACCAGCCAAGUAGCGUGAAGGAUGACUGCCCUAUGGGUUGUAAACUUCUUUUAUAAGGGAAUAAAGUGAGGGACGUGUCCCUUUUUGUAUGUACCUUAUGAAUAAGGAUCGGCUAACUCCGUGCCAGCAGCCGCGGUAAAACGUAGCGU
rnacentral:rRNA from 1 species